UUCAGCUUAGAGCAGUUAACUUGCCAUGGCAGCCGUUCUAGGUUUUACUGUUAGCAAAAGUUGGAGUAAAUAACAGCAACAGAGUAAACAACAGAGCAGACAGGCAAGGUUUUUCAAAGUAGGAUUUAAUAAGUUCACCUCUGUUUCCUUUCUGAAAGUAUCUUCUGUUUUCAACUAUCAGACGGAAUAUGAAUCUCACAUCAAUAAACAGCAAUGACUGUUGCAGAGAGGAGGACGUUGUUGCUGACAUGAACAGUCUGCCUGACCUAAAGUCCAGGAUCCAGGAGCUGCUCCACUCAACGCUGGACAAUUCAUCCAUCACAGUGAUGCAGGAAAGGCUGCUGCUCAAGCAGAGGAGCGCUUACCAUUUUGUCAUUCAGAGCGAAGAACCAAGAUUCACCUCCAUCAAAGUGAUCGGGAAUUUCUUGGGUCCGAAUAGGCUCCAGAAUGUGAAAGACUGGAUGAAGACACAGAUAGAGCUCCUUCUGGCCUCCUUAGAAAUGCUCUACCAGGAAAUCACCAUCAGUCGUCAGAACCUCGAAGACUUUGUUGCAAAGUGUGAACAGGUCGAGGUGGAUACAGAUGAGGUGGCCUCAGCAGAGCAGCAGCUCCAACAGAUCCAGCAGCAUGUUAAAGACUUUGAGGCAAAAAUGGCGAGUAGCCUCCAGCCACUGACCCUGAACAGCUUGUUCCUCCUUAACAUGAGGCCCCUUUGUGUCUCUCCGGUUCUAAUGUCAAUGCUCACCCACGCUCCGGUGAUGUUCAACAAGGAAAAGACACUUCUGACUCACAACUCCACGUGCCUGUUUUGGUACAUUGCGGGUGAGCAGCCUGAGGAGCCAGGAUGUGUGUUCAGAGUUGAAGUAAAAUGGGUUGACCCUGAAGAAAAGCUGCUGAGGGAGGCCAUCUGUUUCAGCUAUGUAUAUAAAGUCCAGAACCUAAAACCAGACACCUGCUACAAGUUCACUGUGAGGAGGAUGGUCAACAAUACAUCAGUGUAUGAAGCCUGGAUCGACACCCUGCACCUGAAAACGUUACGUUCCCGACAGCAGAAAAAGGCUCAAAAAGAUGUCUCAAAAGGAUCCCAGUAAGCACAAGAAACUAAAGUUUUAAGACAAGAAACCGUAAUUCCCUGAGAAGGUUUGAGACUUUGAAAGUUUGAAGGUCAAGAAAAGGGAAAAGAGGGCUGUUAACUUCAGAAAUGCAUUUUAAUAAAUAAAACCAGGGAGAAAAACACAAGUUGUCCUUGUCUUUCA
ensembl:lncRNA